rnacentral:ncRNA from 1 species
UUGUGUCUUAGAGGUUGCGAUCGACAAAAAGUACUUCGAAGCUAGGCAUAGGGAGUCGUUAUGCUUCAAGGAAAGGUGUCUUCGCCGAAGCAGAUAUUCUUCCCUUGGAAUAUCCUGCUGGGACUAUGCUGAAUAAGUAUAGGACUGUCAUCGAUAAAUCACCCAGUUUAUCGAUGAAGCGCUACUACACAC